CUGCGGGACCCGGCGGCCAGUGAAAGCCCGCUGGAGGCUGGAGCUUCCGGGCCCUGGAAAGGGGUCCCUACGCGGCCUGGGCCGGAGGGAGACCCCUGGGUUUGGGGGACAUGGGCAUUUGGGACGCCUGAACCCAAGAUCUCUGGAUGAGCUGCCCCGUUCAGACCAUGGACACUGAAGUGACCCUGCUGCUGCAGUGCCCUGGCGGGGGCCUGCCCCAGGAGCAGAUACAGGCCGAGCUGAGCCCCGCCCAUGACCGUCGCCCACUGCCAGGUGGGGACGAGGCCAUCACUGCCAUCUGGGAGACCCGGCUAAAGGCCCAACCCUGGCUCUUCGAUGCCCCCAAGUUCCGCCUGCACUCAGCCACCCUGGCGCCUUUUGGCUCUCGGGGGCCACAGCUGCUCCUGCGCCUGGGCCUUACUUCCUACCGAGACUUCCUGGGCACCAACUGGUCCGGCUCAGCUGCCUGGCUGCGACAGCAGGGGGCCACCGACUGGGGUGACACGCAGGCCUAUCUGGCGGACCCACUUGGGGUGGGCGCUGCACUAGCCACGGCCGAUGACUUCCUUGUCUUCCUGCGCCGCUCCCGGCAGGUGGCUGAGGCCCCUGGGCUGGUGGACGUGCCUGGUGGGCACCCUGAGCCUCAGGUGAACCUGCCGCUGCUCACCCUGAGCCAGCCCCUGCUGUUGGGCAUCGCCCGAAACGAGACCAGUGCUGGCCGAGCCAGUGCCGAGUUCUAUGUCCAGUGCAGCCUGACUUCUGAGCAGGUGAGGAAGCACUACCUGAGUGGGGGACCCGAGGCCCACGAGUCUACAGGAAUCAUCUUUGUGGAGACACAGAACGUGCGGAGAUUGCAGGAGACGGAGAUGUGGGCUGAACUCUGCCCCUCGGCCAAAGGCGCCAUCAUCCUCUACAACCAGAUUCAGGGAAGUCCCACUGCAGGGGCCCUAGGGUCCCCAGCCCUACUCCCGCCGCUCUGAAGAUAAUAAAGGACUUUAUUCUUGGAUUCCGUUGGCAUCUGCUAUUUCUGUGACAGAGAGGAGCAAUGGGCCCUGAGUGUGUAAGGCAGGACAAGUGACUUGGGAAAAAAAAAAACCCGCCCAGCCUCAGUGUCCCCCUCUGCAAGCAGGGGAUAAGAGCUGUGCCUCCCUUGGCUGGCUCCAGAGAGGCUCCAGGGCGGAAGCAGCUCUGUAAGAUAUGCCUCGCUGCAAAGGGGAGCAACAGCGGAACGGAGAGACGGUGGCCGGGCCGAAAGCGUCACAAAGCCUCAGAGAGCGUGCUCUGUCCCGCCCGCUCCCCAGGUGGGCGCCCGCGCCUGUCCAGCGAGUCCGCAGGCUGCGGGACCGGAGGCACCAAAGGCCAAUAGACAUGUAGGGGCGGGGUCUCCACCGAUUUUUUUUCCUGACAGGUGGACGUGGUCUUGGCAUUCACGCCAAUGAGAGUGCGAGGGCGGGGCCUGAAUAGACGCAGGAAAUGGCGACGGCCGCGGGUUUGUGAGCAGUGGGGGCGGGGCCUGGGUGGGGCCCCGCCUUCUCCCGUCCCCAAGCUCCCUGGGUGGGAACUGGGUCUCCGAGUCCCUGGCUGGGUGGGCAGACCCCGAAGCCAGCGCGGGGAAGGGCUGCGGAUGCCCGGGUCAGAGGAAGGAGCAGGUCCAAGGACACGCGGGUCUGGUCCUGGGCAAGAACCGCCCCCUCCCCGGGCCUGCUUCAGUCUUCCUUCGCAGAACACCGGGCCAGGCCCCUUCCCUCUGCCCCCGGGUGCUUGAAGUCUAGCCCCAUCUUGGUCCAAUGCGCUCUUGGUAGCCUCCUUUCCCAGCUGCCCGCCCGCCGCCAUGCCGCCCUUACUGCCCCUGCGCCUGUGCCGGCUGUGGCCCCGCAGCCCUCCCUCCCGGCUUCUCGGAGCGGCCGCCAGGCAGCGGAAGGUGAAGCAGAUGCACCUUAACUUCAUGGAUGAAAAGGAUCGGAUCAUCACAGCCUUCUACAACGAAGCCCGGGCGCGGGCCAGGUCUGUCCCUGCUCUAUUCUGCUCCCUGCUCCCCGUCCAGGCACCGCACUUCGGGAUCCCUAUCCCAACCACCCAGGUGCCCUCUCCUCCAGGGCCAACAGAGCCAGCCUUCAGCAGGAGCAACAACGGCUAGGGCAGCGGCAGCCACCACCAUCCGAGCCAACCCAAAGCCCCGAGAUCGUGCCCCCGGGCGCCGGCCCCUGAGGGGCUCACCUGGAUGGGGCCUGCAGUGCGUUCCCGCCUUGCUUCCUUCCCUGGACUGCCCGCUCCCCGAAACGCGCGCAAUAAAGUGAUUCGCA